UACGGAGGGUGCAAGCGUUAUCCGGAUUCACUGGGUUUAAAGGGAGCGUAGGUGGGAAUGUAAGUCAGUGGUGAAAUCUCCGUGCUUAACACGGAAACUGCCAUUGAUACUAUGUUUCUUGAAUUUUCUGGAGGUUAGCGGAAUAUGUCAUGUAGCGGUGAAAUGCUUAGAUAUCGUCAAGAACACCGAUAGUGAAGACAGCUAACUAAGCUCUAACUGACGCUGAGGCACGAAAGUGUGGGGAUCAAACAGG
rnacentral:rRNA from 1 species